UAGGGAAUCUUCCACAAUGGACGCAAGUCUGAUGGAGCAACGCCGCGUGAGUGAAGAAAGUUUUCGGAUCGUAAAGCUCUGUUGUAAGAGAAGAACGUGUGUGAGAGUGGAAAGUUCACACAGUGACGGUAACUUACCAGAAAGGGACGGCUAACUACGUGCCAG
rnacentral:rRNA from 1 species